AUUGAACGCUGGCGGCAUGCCUUACACAUGCAAGUCGAACGGCAGCACGGGAGCAAUCCUGGUGGCGAGUGGCGAACGGGUGAGUAAUGUAUCGGAACGUACCUUUCAGUGGGGGAUAACGUAGCGAAAGUUACGCUAAUACCGCAUAUUCUGUGAGCAGGAAAGAGGGGGAUCGCAAGACCUCUUGCUUUAGGAGCGGCCGAUGUCGGAUUAGCUAGUUGGUGAGGUAAAGGCUCACCAAGGCGACGAUCCGUAGCGGGUCUGAGAGGAUGAUCCGCCACACUGGGACUGAGACACGGCCCAGACUCCUACGGGAGGCAG
rnacentral:rRNA from 1 species